ACCUUCUCAUGAGCUCCUCUCAAUCACACCCAUGAUUCUGUAUGGAUUCGCACGAGAAGCAGAUCCAGUGCACAGAUCAUAACAGGCUCGCCCGAUGUGCUUAUGGGUGUUGCCCAUGUCUACUGUGCGACAAGA
rnacentral:snoRNA from 1 species